UCCCCCUCACCCAACUUCGCCUCUGCCUCCUCCCCUCACACAGCUUAGCCAUCGCCUCCCUCUCUUGCUCAACAACCACAGACAGACGGCGCCGCCGCCGCUCUCCCCGCACCGGCAAUCUCCGCCUUCAUGCGCUUCCUCCAAACACUGCUUCCUCCGCCAAUCUCCGCCUACUGCUUCCUCUAGCCCUAAUCACUUUCUUUUAAGUAUCAUUCAAUGACCAAAUGGAGCCCUAAUUGCAUGUGUUAACUGGAAUUUCUUGGGAGCCCAACCAAGGGUACGACGAAUUAGAGACAAUGGCUAGCAAAUGGAUCCAACACAUGUGGCCAAUGGAGAAGAAUAUUCACGGGUAUGAGCCUGCACAUGUGGGCAAUGGCUUUUUCGGGAAAACAAGAUUUAUGCAAAACAUGCUUUAAGCAAGUUCAAGAUCAGUACGGCUAGUUUGUGCGUAAGCAAUGCGGACGAGAAGAUGUCGAAACCGUAACCAGGUAUAAUGUCAAGAUGGUCGUGAAAGACUCCACUGGCUCAAUGGAACUCUUGCUAGAGGAUACGAAGGCAGAAUUUAUUUUACAAUGUGUUGCAUCCUAUCAAAAAAAAUUAAUGUUAAAGGAUAAUGGCAUGCAAAUGCUCAAUGACUAUAUUUCUCAAUAUUAUGGGAGCUCAUACGUGUUCAUUAUUCCUGCUCCAACAACUGGAAGUCUUGACCAUGGUGCCUCUGUGGUGACUUUUGUUUUAAAAGUUGAUUGGUCAGAAGAGUGUUUGCAUCUUUCCAAAGGUAAUAAACGAUUACAAAGAUUG